GAUGAAGAACGUAUCGAAAUGCGAUAAGUAAUGUGAAUUGCAGAAUUCAGUGAAUCAUCGAAUCUUUGAACGCACAUUGCGCCCCUUGGUAUUCCGGGGGGCAUGCCUGUUCGAGCGUCAUUAUAACCCCUCAAGCUCAGCUUGGUGUUGGGGCCUGCCGACUGGCAGCCCUUAAAAUCAGUGGCGGCGCCAUCUGGCUCUAAGCGUAGUAAUUUCUCUCGCUAUAGAGUCCCGGUGGAUGCUUGCCAGCAACCCCCAACUUUCUAUGGUUGACCUCGGAUCAGGUAGGGAUACCCGCUGAACUUAAGCAUAUCAAUAAGCGGAGGA
rnacentral:misc_RNA from 1 species